GCGGAAGUAGUUCAGUGGUAGAACACCACCUUGCCAUGGUGGGGGUCGCGGGUUCGAGUCCCGUCUUCCGCUCCA
rnacentral:tRNA from 1 species